rnacentral:misc_RNA from 1 species
GAUGAAGAACGCAGCGAAAUGCGAUAAGUAAUGUGAAUUGCAGAAUUCAGUGAAUCAUCGAAUCUUUGAACGCACCUUGCGCCCCUUGGUUAUUCCAAAGGGCAUGCCUGUUUGAGUAUCAUGAACACCUCAACUCUUGUGGUUUCCCACAAUGAGCUUGGACUGUGGAGGUUUUGUUGGCCCUGUGGUCAGCUCCUCUCAAAUGGAUCAGCUUACCGGUGUUUGGUGGCAUUACGGGUGUGAUAACUAUCUACGAUCGUGGUCGUCUCCAAAUAACCUCCAGUGAUGGAGGUUCGCUGGAGCUUAUAAAUGUCUCUCCCCAGUGAAGACAGCCUUUGAACGUUCGAUCUCAAAUCAGGUAGGACUACCCGCUGAACUUAAGCAUAUCAAUAAGCGGAGGA